rnacentral:rRNA from 1 species
GCACAAGCGGUGGAGCAUGUGGUUUAAUUCGAUGAUACGCGAGGUAACCUUACCUGGGCUUAAAUGUAGAGUGCAUUUUUUAGAGAUAGAAAUUCCCUUCGGGGCUUUCUGCAAGGUGCUGCAUGGUUGUCGUCAGCUCGUGCCGUGAGGUGUCGGGUUAAGUCCCAUAACGAGCGCAACCCUUAUCGUUAGUUGCCAGCUGGUAAAGCAGGGGACUCUAGCGAAACUGCCACCGUAAGGUGAGAGGAAGGUGGGGAUGACGUCAAAUCAGCACGGCCCUUAUGUCCAGGGCUACACACGUGUUACAAUGGCCGGCACAGAGGGCAGCUACCUGGUGACAGGAUGCUAAUCUCGAAAACUGGUCUCAGUUCGGAUCGAAGUCUGCAACUCGACUUCGUGAAGCUGGAUUCGCUAGUAAUCGCGCAUCAGCCAUGGCGCGGUGAAUACGUUCCCGGGCCUU